CACCUCCAGCAUCCCUAGUAUUGGAGGCACUGCCUGCCCAGUGACAACUGUUUAACGGCCGCGGUAUCCUGACCGUGCAAAGGUAGCAUAAUCAUUUGUUCUCUAAAUAAGGACUUGUAUGAAUGGCCACACGAGGGUUUUACUGUCUCUUACUUCCAAUCAGUGAAAUUGACCUUCCCGUGAAGAGGCGGGAAUGCAUAAAUAAGACGAGAAGACCCUAUGGAGCUUUAACUAACCAACCCAAAGAAAAUAAAUUUAACCAUUGAGGAACAACAACAAUCUCCAUGAGUUGGUAGUUUCGGUUGGGGUGACCUCGGAGAAUAAAAAAUCCUCCGAACGAUUUUAAAGACUAGACCCACAAGUCAAAUCACUCUAUCGCUCAUUGAUCCAAAAAUUUGAUCAACGGAACAAGUUACCCUAGGGAUAACAGCGCAAUCCUAUUUAAGAGUCCAUAUCGACAAUAGGGUUUACGACCUCGAUGUUGGAUCAGGACAUCCUGAUGGUGCAACCGCUAUCAAAGGUUCGUUUGUUCAACGAUUAAAGUCCUACAUGA
rnacentral:rRNA from 1 species